GGUGGGGUUCCCGAGCGGCCAAAGGGAGCAGACUGUAAAUCUGCCGUCAUCGACUUCGAAGGUUCGAAUCCUUCCCCNNNNCCCC
rnacentral:tRNA from 1 species